GUGGAAGGAAGCUUACUGAAGAGGUUACCAACUGGGUGUUAAUCACUCUGUCUCUUACUUUGGGGAAGGUCUGAGACAAGAGCCAAUCACUGCCCUUACAGGGUGUCACCUGAUGCAGGUGAGUGAGUACCCAGAGAAUGUGGGCUUGAGUGUAGUAUCUUCAUAAGAGAAAUCGGUUGGUGCAGUUAAACAGCACAGCUGAUGGAUAUGAUCUCACUAGCUUGGAAAUGCUCAUGGCUGGCAGCAGAGUUCAAUGUGUGAGCUGGAGUUCAACUCCAGAACCCAAUUCAGACUACUCUCCUUCCAC
ensembl:ribozyme RNaseP_nuc Nuclear RNase P